rnacentral:rRNA from 1 species
GACGAACGCUGGCGGCGUGCCUAAUACAUGCAAGUAGAACGCACAGUUUAUACCGUAGCUUGCUACACCAUAGACUGUGAGUUGCGAACGGGUGAGUAACGCGUAGGUAACCUGCCUGGUAGCGGGGGAUAACUAUUGGAAACGAUAGCUAAUACCGCAUAAUAUUAAUUAUUGCAUGAUAAUUAAUUGAACGGUGCAAUUGCACCACUACCAGAUGGACCUGCGUUGUAUUAGCUAGUAGGUGAGGUAACGGCUCACCUAGGCGACGAUACAUAGCCGACCUGAGAGGGUGAUCGGCCACACUGGGACUGAGACACAGCCCAGACUCCUACGGGAGGCAGCAGUAGGGAAUCUUCGGCAAUGGACGAAAGUCUGACCGAGCAACGCCGCGUGAGUGAAGAAGGUUUUCGGAUCGUAAAGCUCUGUUGUAAGAGAAGAACGGGUGUGAGAGUGGAAAGUUCACACUGUGACGGUAUCUUACCAGAAAGGGACGGCUAACUACGUG